AGGUUGACCUCGAAUCAGGUAGGAAUACCCGCUGAACUUAAGCAUAUCAUA
rnacentral:rRNA from 1 species